rnacentral:rRNA from 1 species
UGAAUACCACCUUGAAUGCGCCCGAUCUCGUCUGAUCUCGGAAGCUAAGCAGGGUCGGGCCUGGUUAGUACUUGGAUGGGGGACCCAAUUCUUAUCCACUAUUAC